rnacentral:rRNA from 1 species
GGAUGAACGCUGGCGGCGUGCCUAAUACAUGCAAGUCGAGCGAACAGAUAAGGAGCUUGCUCCUUUGACGUUAGCGGCGGACGGGUGAGUAACACGUGGGUAACCUACCUAUAAGACUGGAAUAACUCCGGGAAACCGGGGCUAAUGCCGGAUAAUAUUUAGAACCGCAUGGUUCUAAAGUGAAAGAUGGUUUUACUAUCACUUAUAGAUGGACCCGCGCCGUAUUAGCUAGUUGGUGGGGUAAUGGCUUACCAAGGCAACGAUACGUAGCCGACCUGAGAGGGUGAUCGGCCACACUGGAACUGAGACACGGUCCAGACUCCUACGGGAGGCAGCAGUAGGGAAUCUUCCGCAAUGGGCGAAAGCCUGACGGAGCAACGCCGCGUGAGUGAUGAAGGUCUUCGGAUCGUAAAACUCUGUUAUUAGGGAAGAACAAAUGUGUAAGUAACUGUGCACGUCUUGACGGUACCUAAUCAGAAAGCCACGGCUAACUACGUGCCAGCAGCCGCG